GACAAACUGGGCAAUCGCUGAUGUUGGACAGGAUGCAUUCGAUGUGGAAUGAAUGUCCACAACCACGGAGAACGUUCCAAGUGGAUUAACCUUUUUGCAGGCAGGUGAAUUGCAUUUUCUAUGAUGGAAAUUUUAAAGUAAGAUUUAUAUUUUAUACAGAUCUUUAUAGUCAGUUUGUCCUUGGAAAUUGUUCCAAAAUAUGAGUGUGUAGCAAAGUUAAAAUAGUACUCAUAAUCUCCAGAACAUGUUUGAAUCACAGCAGUCCUGAGACAUCGGAACUGGCAGCUGUUCAUCUGAUCAAUGGCACCCCAUAUCUAUUUAGUGUACAAUACCAAUAAAUGUAAAUUACCACCUCCCCCAACCCAGGAGUUGGUAGUUUUUACUUUUCAGCACUGCAUAAUCAAAAUUGUUGGAUUGUAUGAAUAUCUGGUUUUGUCUCAGUGAUCCUGCUUCGCCCCAUGAACCCCACACUUCCUACAUUCGAGCAGGCAGGGACUUAUAUUGACUGGUACUUAGUUCAAUUGCAGCAAUUGGUCUGCCUGUGUGUUAUUUUUAAGUGUACAUCGAUUGCAAAUCCUACUUCCAAACUUGACUAGGUUCAGAAUUUGGACCUUGGAUGUGAUUGGCUAUUUGUAAAC